rnacentral:rRNA from 1 species
GGAUGCGAAAAAAACAGCACUAAAGCACCGGAUCCCAUCAGAACUCCGAAGUUAAGCGUGCUUGGGCGAGAGUAGUACUAGGAUAGGUGACCUCCUGGGAAGUCCUCGUGUUGCAUUCC